rnacentral:piRNA from 1 species
CCUCUGAUCUAGCUUUGACAGUACCAGAAGG